rfam:Gossypium arboreum cultivar AKA8401 contig_288_9, whole genome shotgun sequence.
UAUUAAAAAAUUCAUUCAUUUGUACUAUUAAAAACUGGUGCGAUUGACAGUAAAACCAAACAGUGACACGUGGUGUACCAUGUGUACCUGAUGUUGACGUACAAUGACCAGUUUUUAACAGUAGAAAUGGAUGGAAUUUUUAACA